rnacentral:lncRNA from 1 species
AUGCGCUCACAACGCUCCUCCCCCCGAAUGGGGUUCACCCAGGAGGCCCUGGGCUCCGGUGGGACGGUCUCUCUGGGAGCACAAUGCACACGGGGCGGCACGGCUCCCAGGCUCCAGAGCCUAAGUCCUCUGCACACAACCGCAGCCUCAGACAAAGCCCGGCCACCCCUCUCUCCCUCGGCCACCUAUUGUCACCUGGCCUUCCAGGUGAGUAUUUGCUCUGGGCCUGGCCUGAUACUAUUGAUCGCCGGUGAGGUGGGGCUGCGGGUGGGGCUGGGAGCGUGUGGUUUUCAGACCCAAGGGGUCCUGGCGCACCUCCAGUGCCCUGGGCUCCGUGGCUCCCCCCGCAGUGCCAUUGCGCUGCGUGUCACGCCAGCAGCCCCGAGGGGGCCGAGGCGCGCCUGCCCAGGUCACUGCCAGUUUCGGGGACAGGGACCUGACACGGUGCCCAGCACGGGGUGCAGACCAGGCCUCUGGGUGUUUGCGUCUGUGCAGCCACUCGGGGAAAUAGUCUCACCCACACGGAUAAGAUCCUGCCCAAGGCAGGCGGGGGUCUGGGAGGUGGUCCGGGCCAGCGACCCAGAACUUCAUCUCCACAUGAGGCCUCUGAGAAGAAAUCGCCGGGGCUCCCAGGCCCUCCUGUCUCCAGUGGAAGCGCAGAAGGUCGAGGCUCAAGGAGUGUCUGAGCCCCCAGGAGAGCUGCGGUUGGUACCCACGUGCCUCAUCAGCAGUUUCUUCCUCCUUCAAUCAAGUCCACAGAGCCGGAGUGAAGAGGCUUGGAGGCAGGUGCAAUGGCGACUAGGGUCCAGCCCUGGUCCCCGCAGUGACCAGCAGGAUUCGGCCAGGGGACAACGGGAGAGGGAGCACCCCCUUCCGAGUGCCCAUCCACCCACAGUGGGCAGGUCCCUUGGCCCCGGGACUCACAUCCAUCGUCCUCCCUGGAGGACGGGAGCCGAGGGGGCCCGCUGGUCACCAACGCAGGCAGGGAGGACCCCCAGCCGCUGCUUCCAGGGUCCCCAGCUUCAUGCAGCCCUGGGGUUGGCUGUAAGGGCUGUCACACUGUCUGCCAGGGUCCCCAGCCUCAUGCAGCCCUGGGGUUGGCCCUGGGGUUGGCUGUAA